CCACAAACCUAACUGGGCAGGUCUCGUCUAUCUCAGCAAAUCAUCUUCAGAGCGUUCCUUUUAGGCUGGCUCACCCUGGCUAAUCCGGGAAGAGGCUGGAGAAACUCCCAUCCAAAGUGGAGCCACAGGCAAAACUAGAAAGUGGCAGAGGAAGCGUGUUUCUCCUUGUCAUACUACUCUUCACGGCCCUCUCCCUCUACAUGACUGAGCAUCCUGCCUGCUUCCCGGCUGUUCCUAAAAAGGCUUUGCAUGUUCAGCUCGGCUCUCUGGUACAUUUCGGCACGAAGGAGGUUAAUAAGGUUCUUCAAGAGAAACGGAAGAAGAGAGCAUGGAACAGAGGAACGGUACCCCUGCAUGUUCUGCAUCCUCUUUCAGGCAGCCCUCCCGGCUUCAUAGUGACCCUCUAUCAGCCCCCGACCAACAGUGUGCUGCCUUCACCAGACCUGUCAUGCAAAUAAUUGUGUGUUCAAUAUUACACUGUGCUGUCUAG